rnacentral:rRNA from 1 species
CCUACGGGCGGCAGCAGUGAGGAAUAUUGGUCAAUGGACGCAAGUCUGAACCAGCCAUGCCGCGUGCAGGAUGACGGCUCUAUGAGUUGUAAACUGCUUUUGUACGAGGGUAAACGCAGAUACGUGUAUCUGUUUGAAUGUAUCUUACGAAUAAGGAUCGGCUAACUCCGUGCCAGCAGCCGCGGUAAUACGGAGGAUUCAAGCGUUAUCCGGAUUUAUUGGGUUUAAAGGGUGCGUAGGCGGGUGGAUAAGUUAGAGGUGAAAGUCCGAGGCUCAACUUCGGAAUUGCCUCUGAUACUGGCAGGCUAGAGAGCAGUUGAGGUAGGCGGAAUGUAUGGUGUAGCGGUGAAAUGCUUAGAGAUCAUGAAGAACACCGAUUGCGAAGGCAGCUUACCAAGCUACUUCUGACGUUGAGGCACGAAAGCGUGGGGAGCAAACAGGAUUAGAUACCCCUGUAGUC